UGACAGUACUCCUACGGGAGGCAGCAGUGGGGAAUAUUGCACAAUGGGCGCAAGCCUGAUGCAGCAACGCCGUGUGAGUGAAGAAGGUUUUCGGAUCGUAAAACUCUGUCCUAAGGGAAGAAACAAAUGACGGUACCUUAGGAGGAAGCCCCGGCUAACUACGUGCCAGCAGCCGCGGUAAUACGUAGGGGCAAGCGUUAUCCGGAAUCACUGGGCGUAAAGGGUGCGUAGGCGGCUUAGCAAGCCAGGGGUGAAAGGCAUUGGCUCAACCAAUGUAAGCCUUUGGAACUGUUAAGCUUGAGUGCAGGAGAGGUAAGUGGAAUUCCUAGUGUAGAGGUGAAAUUCGUAGAUAUUAGGAGGAACACCAGUGGCGAAGGCGACUUACUGGACUGUAACUGACGCUGAUGCACGAAAGCGUGGGUAGCGAACAGGAUUAGAUACCCUGGUAG
rnacentral:rRNA from 1 species